GUGCCAGCAGCCGCGGUAAUACGUAGGGGGCGAGCGUUGUCCGGAUUUAUUGGGCGUAAAAGGCUUGUAGGUGGCCACGUCAAGUCGGAUGUGAAAUCUCCCGGCUCAACUGGGAGGGGUCAUUCGAUACUGGCGGGCUCGAGGCCGGUAGGGGGAAGCGGAAUUCCGGGUGUAGUGGUGGAAUGCGUAGAUAUCCGGAGGAACACCAGAGGCGAAGGCGGCUUCCUGGACCGGUUCUGACACUGAGGAGCGAAAGCGUGGGGAGCGAUCCGGAUUAGAUACCCGGGUAGUCC
rnacentral:rRNA from 1 species